AAGCAGGAUCCAGUUACAAGGUAGCUGUGAGGUGCUGCGUUGUCUUUGUCCCUGCUCAAAACAAAGCUGUUUCCUGCCUAGCCCUGCCGGCCUGGAGCUGUAGCCGUCAGGGAUGCAUGGUCUCACACAC